rnacentral:rRNA from 1 species
AGAGUUUGAUCCUGGCUCAGGAUGAACGCUGGCGGCGUGCUUAACACAUGCAAGUCGAACGAAACACCUUAUUUGAUUUUCUUCGGAACUGAAGAUUUGGUGAUUGAGUGGCGGACGGGUGAGUAACGCGUGGGUAACCUGCCCUGUACAGGGGGAUAACAGUCAGAAAUGACUGCUAAUACCGCAUAAGACCACAGCACCGCAUGGUGCAGGGGUAAAAACUCCGGUGGUACAGGAUGGACCCGCGUCUGAUUAGCUGGUUGGUGAGGUAACGGCUCACCAAGGCGACGAUCAGUAGCCGGCUUGAGAGAGUGAACGGCCACAUUGGGACUGAGACACGGCCCAAACUCCUACGGGAGGCAGCAGUGGGGAAUAUUGCACAAUGGGGGAAACCCUGAUGCAGCGACGCCGCGUGAGUGAAGAAGUAUCUCGGUAUGUAAAGCUCUAUCAGCAGGGAAGAAAAUGACGGUACCUGACUAAGAAGCCCCGGCUAACUACGUGCCAGCAGCCGCGGUAAUACGUAGGGGGCAAGCGUUAUCCGGAAUUACUGGGUGUAAAGGGUGCGUAGGUGGUAUGGCAAGUCAGAAGUGAAAACCCAGGGCUUAACUCUGGGACUGCUUUUGAAACUGUCAGACUGGAGUGCAGGAGAGGUAAGCGGAAUUCCUAGUGUAGCGGUGAAAUGCGUAGAUAUUAGGAGGAACAUCAGUGGCGAAGGCUGCUUACUGGACUGAAACUGACACUGAGCACGAAAGCCUGGGGAGCAACAGAUUAGAUACCUGUAGUCCACGCGUAACGAUGAUACUAGUGUCGGGCGUAAAGCUCGGUGCCGCAGCCACGCAGUAGUAUCCC